rnacentral:rRNA from 1 species
GACGAACGCUGGCGGCGUGCUUAACACAUGCAAGUCGAACGCUGAAGCCCUGGCUUUUGUUGGGUUGGAUGAGUGGCGAACGGGUGAGUAACACGUGAGUAACCUGCCCUCUUCUUUGGGAUAACGCCCGGAAACGGGUGCUAAUACUGGAUAUUCACUGAUCUUCGCAUGGGGGUUGGUGGAAAGGUUUGUUCUGGUGGGGGAUGGGCUCGCGGCCUAUCAGCUUGUUGGUGGGGUGAUGGCCUACCAAGGCUUUGACGGGUAGCCGGCCUGAGAGGGUGACCGGUCACAUUGGGACUGAGAUACGGCCCAGACUCCGACGGGAGGCAGCAGUGGGGAAUAUUGCACAAUGGGCGAAAGCCUGAUGCAGCGACGCCGCGUGAGGGAUGGAGGCCUUCGGGUUGUAAACCUCUUUCGCUCAUGGUCAAGCCGCAACUGUGGGUUGUGGUGAGGGUAGUGGGUAAAGAAGCGCCGGCUAACUACGUG